rnacentral:tRNA from 1 species
AAUGUUGUGCCUGAGGAAAAGGGUUACUUUGAUAGAGUAAAUUAUACAAAUUUGUCAUCAUUA